GGGUGCUGCGAGCGAGCGUGAACGCGCGCGCGCGCGUGCGUCGCUCGCUCGCAGCACGCAGGUAAUAGCAGUAGGUGAGCCGCUCUGCGCGAUCUCGCUCAAUGAGUCACCUUACACACGCGGAAUGGCAUCGUGCACACGCGCGUGCGUCUCUGUGUGUGCGUGCCGUAUAUGCAUAGCAGGCUGCGUGUAGGCGUAUGCAACGCUACACAUGCAACGGUAUGCGCGUAACGCAGGAGGCCUGCCGACGUGCGUAAUGCAGGGCCGGUCAGCAUAUCCGUCGUAUCGAUAUUAAGUGAUCGCGUCGGACGAGUGGGAGGGUUGCGCGCUCAGGGUAUAUAAGGCAGCAGGUAUUUAUAUCCAGGUGAGUGCGAGCACACUGAUAUCCAUCGUGACCGACACAGGUGGUCAGUCACGUCAACCAACCGUUGUUUAUUUUAUAUACUUAAAAAAAAAACACAAAUCUGUAUAAUAUAUGGACUGCGCGUCUGCCUGCCUGCGUGUGCGUUGAUAAGCAACGGCAUUGAAGCGGUGGGUGGCUCCAGUUACGGUAGCUUUCUAUCGGCGCUAACGUCACGCUCCACGCAAGGCGAAUUACUCGGUUCACCGACGGCGGUAUAGGUGGGGAGGGUGGUGGGGCGUGGGGGGGCCGUGUGGUAAAGUGUUUCGGAGCGUGAGACUUAGCGCAUCAAGGUGGAACUUUACGCUGACCGUGCAUGCCUGGCACCGCCGUCGCGAAUGAACCAAGGCAACCUGGACACCGUCAUUGUUUUCGAGGGCUCCAAAUAACCCUCCUCCACACCCUCCACACCCUCCCCCCCCCGCAAAAAAAAUGUGUGGCUUUAUGUAAUUGUGUAUAUCGACACACAACGUGUGUGCGUGUGUGCGUAUGCCAAAAAUCUCAGCUCCCCAGCCCUUCUGGAACAUCAUUAGAAGUGACGUCAUUCUCCAGGGCUCGCGCUGUGCGCGAGAUGCCACGCCUCCUAACUCGGCGAAUAUCCAGAGGCUGGGAUUUAGAAUU